rnacentral:rRNA from 1 species
GAUGAACGCUGGCGGCGUGCCUAAUACAUGCAAGUCGAGCGAACAGACGAGGAGCUUGCUCCUCUGACGUUAGCGGCGGACGGGUGAGUAACACGUGGAUAACCUACCUAUAAGACUGGUAUAACUUCGGGAAACCGGAGCUAAUACCGGAUAAUAUAUUGAACCGCAUGGUUCAAUAGUGAAAGACGGUUUUGCUGUCACUUAUAGAUGGAUCCGCGCCGCAUUAGCUAGUUGGUAAGGUAACGGCUUACCAAGGCAACGAUGCGUAGCCGACCUGAGAGGGUGAUCGGCCACACUGGAACUGGGACACGGUCCAGACUCCUACGGGAGGCAGCAGUAGGGAAUCUGCCGCAAUGGGCGAAAGCCUGACGGAGCAACGCCGCGUGAGUGAUGAAGGUCUUCGGAUCGUAAAACUCUGUUAUUAGGGAAGAACAAAUGUGUAAGUAACUAUGCACGUCUUGACGGUACCUAAUCAGAAAGCCACGGCUAACUACGUG